UUUAAGAAUUGUAAUUUAAGAAAUGAGAACUUCCAAGUUUUGUCUCUGUUUAAAGGUAAGUUUUAGCUGGGAUUAUUUGGCUUUCACUUUAUGAAGUUUUAAAUUGUUAACUAGGCUAUUUGGAGUUAUUGUUUAAGUGAAUUACUGGUAGAAGUAUUUUUGUGUAUGUGUAAAGAAGCUAUGUAAUUAUGCAAAGAUAGAUUUUGUAGGAUCUCAUAAUUCUUGUCAAUCCUGUGCAGGAGUUUUGUGAGAUGGAACUCUUGCUGAUUGAGUGGCCCAUUGCAGACACCUCUGGACUAGAGAAAUUGGAUAGCUGGGAAUUUUAUGGUGAUAAUCAUUUGGGAUCAAUUGAGCCCCAAUAGGGGCCAGGGACCUGAGUUGCUUUUUCUUCCUGAGUGAGCUGAGAGUGCCCCUUCCUGUGUCCACAGCUAAAGCUGAUCAAGAGCAUUCUUAUGUUUAUGACCAUAAGAGCCUUUAACCCAGACACUACCUUGAUGAUGGCAGAGCAAACACAGAUAUCCUGGAUCUGACAUUUGCCUAUCCUAAUUAAAUUUCCUUUCUCAUGCUCAGGUUAAACAUUUGGAGGCCAUGAAACUGAGUAACCCAGAAGUCCUGAGUCAGGGUUUAAUGUCACUUAUCACUAGCUUGUGUUCUCUUUAACCAACAUUCAGGUCAACAAUGGUAAUUGGAAACUGUAAGCUGUUUUUAAGAAAUGGAGAUACUUUUAUGAAGAAGAUGUUUUGAUAAAAUCUUUGAUAUUCUUUUAGAGGGCCUACUAACUUUCCUUUUGCAAGCUAAUCUGUUGCAAUAAUUUGGUACUGAUAGCAAUUAUGUCCGAAUCUACUGUGACUUAUCUAAGUUUCAUUCCUAUGCAUGUUGUGUCCUUGAAUUGGCCUUAACCGGGUGCUUUCAGAGAAACAGAAUCAAUGGUUCUUGCUUCAGGUAGCAUAAGAAAGGGCACUGGUCUCUGGAAUGUAGGUCUGAAGGUUUAAUGCCACACUCUAAACUUUUACGAGGUGGGUGUAGAACUGAAAAGGUUAGGACAGCUAAAACAUCUUAGCAGAUUCUGGAAGUUUUUGAGAUUGAUCAUUAAGGAGUUUUCUAACACCUCCUUACAAUGCUGUCGCUCCCUUCCCCCACUCCCUCCCCUUGAGUCAAGAGGGUUUCUCUGUGUGGGGAUUCCAAACAGCUCCGGGUUUUUCUGUUAACCCCUUUCAUCCCAGAUCAGAUGAGGAAGAGAGUGUUUCACCCCCCUCUCCGCUGCUUGCAAAUUCACCUUUCCCUCCUGGCUAUAGGAAGGAGGGGGAUGGGCAGCAGCUACAGGCUGGAAGUAUCUUCCAGCACACAGCGGUGAGGAGAGAGUAAAAGAGGAUGGGUCAAGCCAAAGAAACCAGUCUGUGUCUAUACUUGGUAAAUCAGCCCAUCCUUCUAUCAAUACUUUUACAUGAUCUGGAAACACAGUUGUUGCCAUCUGAAGUUUAUUGUUUAUGUUACAGCUAAAACAAUUUAGUUAUCACUUAUGAAAAUUGUAAGAUUGUUGGUUACUGUUUCAAUGUUAAAAAUUAAAACUGGUAAUUGAUUACUCUGUGUGUGUGUGUUGAAAAAGAGCAGUCUGAGGACUGCCCCUGAGGGACUAAUCAGAAAGCACAACCCAUAGAAAUUCUAAAGUUAGAAGGGGUGGAUGAGGCAGCCCCUUCUGUGGGAUCCCUGCUGAUCCUCCUUAGUAUCCUAAACUUGCCCAAGAAGCUUGUUUGGAUCAUGGAAUUCCUAAACAAGAAACUUGGCCUGCUGAGAAUUUGCAAGUAUAUAGAAAUGACUUCUAAUGACUGGCUUUUGCACCAGAACAAGUUUAAAUUUGAGAAGGAAAGAUGUAAAGUGAAAUCUCUUAUGUAUGUGAGUCCUGGUAGAUCUUUACUGCUUAUUGCUACUCCAUGAGAAUAAAAUUAACUGUAUCUGGCUUUCAGCUGCAAUUUGUGAAAUUUGCUGUUUAAGGUAAAAGGCUCUUGGAACUAUAACUAAUUUUGUUUUGAGCUUGAAUUUGGGUACAGUUGUCCGCAUUAAAUCAGAAAUCUGAGAGAGAGAUGCCACAAGCACUUAAAAGGAAUGUCAUCCUGUACUGUUCUGCAUCUAGGAAAACCUGUAAGGACAAUCUUAACCUUAAUCUAGGAUGGGAUCCUCCUGGCUCAGUUUCCCCAUUGUGUUCCUUUGAGAAGGAAUGUUUCCCACCUGACUAUUCCUGAGUCUGGCUAUAAGGAGAAACAGAUACUGCAUGAUAACUAGAACAUGUGUAGAAAUGUAUGCAAACUACUUGAGAGUCACCUUAAGAUGUUCCCUUUGUUUAAAAGGAUUGUAAGAGCAGUAGUAUCUUUCCUGUAAUCAGUCUCCUACUGCUACCAAUGCGAGAUUCUAUUACAACACCUUGUGACUAAGGAACUUUGUGAUAUUUAGGAAUUCUGUGAUAACUAGGAAUUUAGUUUCUUGAUAAUACGCUGGAAUUUGUGUUACUUAAGGACCUUUGCUCCAGCUUAGGGUUUUAUGAACAAGGGUGGAAAUGCACGCAAGGUAUUUGGGGCUCCCUUUGGAAAUGUUCCUUAGGCAAUGUGAGAUUAUACUCAUAUCCUAAACUUAUUAUUGGAACUUGUUAUCCAAAGACUUAAUGAGACUAAUGACUGACUGUUUCUAACUCCAGAUGUAACUAUCAAGGAAGGCUGUCUGAGCCACUGACCCAUGAUGCCAGCAGUCCUGUUAAGGGCAAGUAUGAACUGCAGCCUUUGAGGGGUCACAGCCUCUCCAACCUCAACCUAGUGAUGGAGGAGGAGGAGCUCUCGGAGAUGAGCAGCCUGAUGGAUGGUGGCCCAGCUGAGAUCACUGCUGCCUUCUCUUGGACCUCAGAUCUCUGCUUUCUGGACACCAGCUUUGUAGGUGCAGGUCCCUCCUAAGUCUGAGCCAGCCCCUCACAGAUCUGCUGCCUGUUCAGGCCAUUGGAUCUUAUCCUCCUUCUCUGACCAAGUGCUCCGUGAGCAGAAGACCAAGGUCUGACCCAGCAGGGAGCCUGGAGCCAGAGGGAAUGUCCCAUGGGAGCUGCAGACCUCCAGCCCAGUGGGGGAAAGGAGGAUAUUGAAGGAGACACACAGUGCUUGUCAAAGAGGCAUCAGGCUCAAAGCAAAGACACAAUGGAGUGACUUACUUUCUCUCCAAAAUCCACUUUUGAUAAUCUUCACAACAACUCCAUAUGGAGCUGGUAACAUUCCAGGAUGUGGCUGUGGACUUCACCCAGGAGAAGUGAGACUUCUUAGACCACCCUCAGAAGCAGUUGUACAAGGAGGUCAUGCUGGAGAAUGCCCAGAAGCUGCUCUCCCCGGGGCUGCCAGUUCCCAGGGAAGAUUUGAUCUCCUAUUAUGAGGAAAAGGAAGCACCAUGACUCCUGUACAUGAAGGCCUGAGGAGCUGCUGCCCAGAAGGAGAGAUUGGACCUGAAAUGAAAGCAACUACAGCAAAGCUAAGCAUUUCUGUGAAAGAAACUCAGGAGGAAAGUUUCAUGAGGAAUGGUCCUUGUGACUUCACUGGGAGACAAAUCUGUGCUACCUUUCGCACAAUCCACAGAGGAGAAAAACCUUAUGAUUGUCAUCAUUGUGGGAAAGUGUUGAGUCAACAGUCAUCCCUUAUUUAACAUCAAAAAAUUAAUCAUGGAGUGAAACCAAGUGAGUGUCAUGAAUGUGGUAAACUUUUAGUGAACACUCAUACUUCAUUAUACUUCAGAAAAUUCACAUUGGCAGAACACCUUAUGAAUGUAAUCAGUGUGGAAAAGCUUUCACACAGAGGUCCAGCCUUGUUAAACAUCAGAGACUCCACAAUGGAGAGAAACCCUUAUGAAUGUAAUCAGUGUGGAAAGGCUUCCACACAGAGCUCCAACCUUAUUGAACAUCAAAAACUCCACACUGGAGAGAAGCCUUAUGAAUGUAAUUAAUGUGGAAAUUCUAUCAUGUGUAAAAGUGAUCUUAGUCUACAUCAGAGAAUCCACACUGGAAAGAAACCUUAUGAAUGUAAUCAGGGUGGAAAGGCUUUCAGUUACUGCUCCAAUCUUGCUGUACAUCAGACAUCCAUACUGUAUACAAACCUUAUGAAUGUAAUCAGUAUGGAAAGGCCUUCAAAUGCAGGACCAGUCUUUCUGUCAAUGAGAGAAUGCACACUGGAGAGAAACCAUAUGAAUGUUAUCACUGUGGAAAAGCUUUCUGACUAAACUGGAAACUUGCUCUGCAUGAGACAAUCCACAUUGGAGAGAAACCUUACCAGUGUAAUUAAUGUAACAAGGCUUUCCCACUGAGCUCAAAUCUUGUUCAACAUCAGAGAACCCACAAUGGAGAAAUCUUAUGAGUGUUUAGAAUGUGAUAAAAUUUUAUGUACACCAUCUCCUUUCCAAACAAAUCUGAUGAAUGAAAAGUCCAUUUCUAGAUAAUCAUUUCAUUAAUUCUGGCUAACAUAAUUCUGGUUAAUAUAAUCAGUAGAAAAAAAGCAUUCAGGCUAAAAUCAUAUCUUAUUUCCCAUCAGAGAAUUCCACUGACAUUGAAAUCAUAUUCCUAUAAUGAACAUGAAAAGACAUUCAGAUGGUCUACACAGCUUGUUACAUUCCAGAAGAUUCAUCUCAGAAACAAGCAAACACUCUAUCAGAUCUAAUCCCCUAAAUCUAUUCAUCACUUCUACUUCAUAUCAGUAACUGGGGAAAAAUAAAAUACUAAAUAUGAAUACUAUGAAAAGAAAAUGCAGUCAGAAGGAGACUCACAUGUGACAAACAAGGAGGCCUAUGUUACUGCAUCCUGAGUACAUGGAAAGGACUGAGCCUUAAUCACUCAAUCAGCAUUUCUUCAGUUCAACUGAGACUGUUAAAGACCUUAGCUUGAAAAAGGCCAAGGUCCCUCACUGCAUCCUAGGCCAUCUCCAGUUUUCCCUGAUCUACAUCUUCCCACUGAAUCCAGAAGGCUUCAGGGGAGAGAAUGAGGCUGCUGACUUUGCACUGCCCUGACUCACUUAAAUCCAAUUCACUUCCAAGUCCUACCAUCAGCUUCCUGAAGGCAUGGUCCUCUUGGAGAACCAAGGACAAACAACAACACCCAAAGACACCAGCUUAUGGGAUAAAGAAACUGAGGCAAAUAGAGGAAUUGUGACUUGCCUACUGUCACCCAGGCAGAAAGUGUCUGUGCCUGGAUUUCAACUCAACUCUUUCUGACUCCAGACAUAGUGCAUUGUGCCACCCGGCUGCCUCAUGGUGGAAGAUAACUUUGCACCAGAGUGGAUGCUUCAAAUAGAGGAGAGAGGAGGAUAACAGACUUUUCAGACAGUGUUCCAGCGAGUCAUCUGGGAACAAUAUGGAUAGAAGAAUAGGUGGGCUGAGGAAUGGGGAUCAGGACACUCCAAUGACCAAUUACUAGUGUUGAUCUCACUCUGUUCCCCCACCUACUUUGUGUUGGGGCAGGAGCAAGUAGGAAAAAUCAGAGCAUAUCGUGGAGAAAAUAUAAUUAUUUCACCUUUUGGAACGUGGCCCCUAAAUUCAUUCCCCUGUGUGCCCUUUGACCCCAUAACAACCACUAGACCUAUAAACUAAAGAGUUAAAUGACCCAUAUAUACAAGAUGAAAUUAUUCUGGAUGUUUGUUGUUGCUGCAAAGAUCUGGAAAGAUGGUGCCUGUAUACUGGGAGUUGAUGGAAGAAAUGAUAGUCUAAGAAUAUAAUGGAAGAUCA